GACGAACGCUGGCGGCGUGCUUAACACAUGCAAGUCGAACGAUGAAGCCUAGCUUGCUGGGUGGAUUAGUGGCGAACGGGUGAGUAACACGUGAGUAACCUGCCCCUUUCUCUGGGAUAAGCGCUGGAAACGGCGUCUAAUACUGGAUAUGCCUCAUCACCGCAUGGUGUGUGGGGGGAAAGAUUUAUCGGAGAGGGAUGGACUCGCGGCCUAUCAGCUUGAUGGUGAGGUAAUGGCUCACCAUGGCGACGACGGGUAGCCGGCCUGAGAGGGUGACCGGCCACACUGGGACUGAGACACGGCCCAGACUCCUACGGGAGGCAGCAGUGGGGAAUAUUGCACAAUGGGCGCAAGCCUGAUGCAGCAACGCCGCGUGAGGGAUGACGGCCUUCGGGUUGUAAACCUCUUUUAGUAGGGAAGAAGCGAAAGUGACGGUACCUGCAGAAAAAGCACCGGCUAACUACGUGCCAGCAGCCGCGGUAAUACGUAGGGUGCAAGCGUUGUCCGGAAUUAUUGGGCGUAAAGAGCUCGUAGGCGGUUUGUCGCGUCUGCCGUGAAAUCCCGAGGCUCAACCUCGGGCUUGCGGUGGGUACGGGCAGGCUAGAGUGCGGUAGGGGAGAUUGGAAUUCCUGGUGUAGCGGUGGAAUGCGCAGAUAUCAGGAGGAACACCGAUGGCGAAGGCAGAUCUCUGGGCCGUUACUGACGCUGAGGAGCGAAAGCAUGGGGAGCGAACAGGAUUAGAUACCCUGGUAGUCCAUGCCGUAAACGUUGGGAACUAGAUGUAGGGCCUGUUCCACGGGUUCUGUGUCGUAGCUAACGCAUUAAGUUCCCCGCCUGGGGAGUACGGCCGCAAGGCUAAAACUCAAAGGAAUUGACGGGGGCCCGCACAAGCGGCGGAGCAUGCGGAUUAAUUCGAUGCAACGCGAAGAACCUUACCAAGGCUUGACAUAUACGAGAACGGGCUAGAAAUGGUCAACUCUUUGGACACUCGUAUACAGGUGGUGCAUGGUUGUCGUCAGCUCGUGUCGUGAGAUGUUCGGUUAAGUCCGGCAACGAGCGCAACCCUUGUCCUAUGUUGCCAGCACGUUAUGGUGGGAACUCAUGGGAUACUGCCGUGGUCAACACGGAGGAAGGUGGGGAUGACGUCAAAUCAUCAUGCCCCUUAUGUCUUGGGCUUCACGCAUGCUACAAUGGCCGGUACAAAGGGCUGCGAUACCGUAAGGUGGAGCGAAUCCCAAAAAGCCGGUCUCAGUUCGGAUUGGGGUCUGCAACUCGACCCCAUGAAGUCGGAGUCGCUAGUAAUCGCAGAUCAGCAACGCUGCGGUGAAUACGUUCCCGGGCCUUGCACACACCGC
rnacentral:rRNA from 1 species